UCCGCUGACGACCGGCGCACGGGUGCGUAACGCGUAUGCAACCUACCUUCUACGGGGGGAUAGUCAAUAGAAAUGUUGAAUACUACCCCAUACGAUCUUUGAAUAGCAUUAUUUAAAGAAGAAAGCUCCGGCGGUAGAAGAUGGGCAUGCGUCCUAUUAUUUAGUUGGUAAGGUAACGGCUUACCAGGACUUCGAUAGGUAGGGGUCCUGAGAGGGAGACCCCCCACAGUGGUACUGACACACGGACCAGACUCCUACGGGAGGCAGCAGUGAGGAAUAUUGGACAAUGGAGGCAACUCUGAUCCAGCCAUGCCGCGUGCAGGAAGACUGCCCUAUGGGUUGUAAACUGCUUUUAUACAGGAAGAAAUAUGCCUACGUGUAGGCAUUUGACGGUACUGUACGAAUAAGGAUCGGCUAACUCCGUGCCAGCAGCCGCGG
rnacentral:rRNA from 1 species